UACGUAGGGGGCAAGCGUUAUCCGGAUUUACUGGGUGUAAAGGGUGCGUAGACGGUUUUGCAAGUCUGAAGUGAAAGGCAUGGGCUCAACUCAUGGGCUGCUUUGGAAACUGUGAGACUUGAGUGCAGGAGGGGUAAGCGGAAUUCCUGGUGUAGCGGUGAAAUGCUUAGAUAUCAGGAGGAACACCGGCGGCGAAGGCGGCUUACUGGACUGUAACUGACGUUGAGGCACGAAAGCGAGGGGAGCAAAC
rnacentral:rRNA from 1 species